GACGAACGCUGGCGGCGUGCUUAACACAUGCAAGUCGAACGGAAAGGCCCUGCUUUUGUGGGGUGCUCGAGUGGCGAACGGGUGAGUAACACGUGAGUAACCUGCCCUUGACUUUGGGAUAACUUCAGGAAACUGGGGCUAAUACCGGAUAGGAGCUCCUGCUGCAUGGUGGGGGUUGGAAAGGUUCGGCGGUUGGGGAUGGACUCGCGGAUUAGCAGCUUGUUGGUGGGGUAGUGGCUUACCAAGGCUUUGACGGGUAGCCGGCCUGAGAGGGUGACCGGCCACAUUGGGCCUGAGAUACGGCCCAGACUCCUACGGGAGGCAGCAGUGGGGAAUAUUGCACAAUGGGCGGAAGCCUGAUGCAGCAACGCCGCGGGCGGGAGGACGGCCUUCGGGUUGGGAACCGCUUUCACCUGUGACGAAGCGUGAGUGACGGUAAUGGGUAAAGAAGCACCGGCUAACUACGUG
rnacentral:rRNA from 1 species